rnacentral:rRNA from 1 species
AGAUUGAACGCUGGCGGCAGGCCUAACACAUGCAAGUCGAGCGGUAGAGAGGUGCUUGCAUCUCUUGAGAGCGGCGGACGGGUGAGUAAUGCCUAGGAAUCUGCCUAGUGGUGGGGGAUAACGUUCGGAAACGGACGCUAAUACCGCAUACGUCCUACGGGAGAAAGCGGGGGACCUUCGGGCCUCGCGCCAUUAGAUGAGCCUAGGUCGGAUUAGCUAGUUGGUGAGGUAAUGGCUCACCAAGGCGACGAUCCGUAACUGGUCUGAGAGGAUGAUCAGUCACACUGGAACUGAGACACGGUCCAGACUCCGU